UACGAAGGGGGCUAGCGUUGCUCGGAAUGACUGGGCGUAAAGGGCGCGUAGGCGGUUUGGUUCGUUAGGCGUGAAAUUCCUGGGCUCAACCUGGGGACUGCGUUUAAUACAGCCAGACUUGAGUGUGGAAGAGGGUCGUGGAAUUCCCAGUGUAGAGGUGAAAUUCGUAGAUAUUGGGAAGAACACCAGUGGCGAAGGCGGCUCUCUGGUCCGAUACUGACGCUGAGGUGCGAAAGCGUGGGGAGCAAACAGG
rnacentral:rRNA from 1 species